rnacentral:rRNA from 1 species
AUGAACGCUGGCGGCGUGCCUAAUACAUGCAAGUCGAACGAGGUGCUUUUGUAGCAAUACGAGAGUAUCCUAGUGGCGAACGGGUGAGUAACGCGUUGGUGACCUACCCCAAAGUGGUGGGAUAACAGUCCGAAAGGAUUGCUAAUACCGCAUGUGGUCUUCGGAUUUAGAAACUGAUGACUAAAGGAGCAAUUCGCUUUGGGAGGGACCUGCGUCCCAUCAGCUAGUUGGGGUGAGGGGUAACGGCUCACCAAGGCGACGACGGGUAGGGGACCUGAGAGGGUGGCCCCCCACAAUGGAACUGAAACACGGUCCAUACACCUACGGGUGGCAGCAGUAGGGAAUAUUGCUCAAUGGGCGAAAGCCUGAAGCAGCAACGCCGCGUGUGCGAUGAAGGCCUUCGGGUCGUAAAGCACUUUUCUGAGAGAUGAGAAAGGACAGUAUCUCAGGAAUAAGUCUCGGCUAACUACGUGCCAGCAGCCGCGGGUAAAACGUAGGAGGCAAGCGUUAUCCGGAUUCACUGGGCGUAAAGCGCGUGCAGGCGGUGCGGUAAGUUGGGCGUGAAAUCUCCCGGCUCAACUGGGAUAGGUCGUCCAAUACUACCGUACUUGAGAGCAGAAGAGGAAAAUGGAAUUCCCGGUGUAGUGGUGAAAUGCGUAGAUAUCGGGAGGAACACCAGUGGCGAAGGCGAUUUUCUGGUCUGUUCUGACGCUCAGACGCGACAGCUAGGGUAGUAAACGGGAUUAGAGACCCCGGUAAUCCUAGCCGUAAACGAUGUGAACUUGGCGUUGGUGGGUUAAACUCCAUCAGUGCCGUAGCAAACGCGAUAAGUUCACCGCCUGGGGACUACGGCCAGCCAAGGUUAAAACUCAAAGGAAUUGACGGGGGCCCGCACAAGCAGCGGAGCGUGUGGUUUAAUUCGAUUGCUACACGGAGAACCUUACCCAGGCUUGACAUACAGGUGGUAGAGAUCCGAAAGGUGACCGACCCGCAAGGGAGCCUGAACAGGUGUUGCAUGGCUGUCGUCAGCUCGUGUCGUGAGAUGUUCGGUUAAGUCCGCUAACGAGCGCAACCCUCGCUGCGUGUUACAAGUGUCACGCAGGACCGCCGGUAUUAAGCCGGAGGAAGGUGGGGGAUGACGUCAAGUCAGCAUGGCCUUUAUGCCUGGGGCUACACACGCUACAAUGGGCAGUACAAUGGGUUGCUAAGCCGCGAGGUGGAGCCAAUCCCCCAAAACUGUCCUCAGUUUCAGAUUGCAGGCUGCAACUCGCCUGCAUGAAGCCGGAAGUUGCUAGUAAACGCGCGUCAGCUAUAGUGCGUUGAAUACGUUCUCGGGCCUUGUACACACCGCCCGUCACGUCAUGGGAGCUGGUAACACCUGAAGCCGGUAGCCUAACCGCGAGGAGGGCGCCGUCGAAGGUGGGGCUGGUGACUGGGACGA